GCGGUCGUCGUCUAGUUUGGUCUAGGACACUGGCCUUCCAAGCCCGUAACCCGGGUUCAAAUCCCGGCGACCGCACCA
rnacentral:tRNA from 1 species